rnacentral:rRNA from 1 species
UACGGAGGGGGCUAGCGUUGUUCGGAAUUACUGGGCGUAAAGCGCACGUAGGCGGACUGUUAAGUCGGGGGUGAAAUCCUGGGGCUCAACCUCAGAAUUGCCUCCGAUACUGGCAGUCUCGAGUGCGGGAGAGGUGAGUGGAAUUCCCAGUGUAGAGGUGAAAUUCGUAGAUAUUGGGAAGAACACCAGUGGCGAAGGCGGCUCACUGGCCCGUAACUGACGCUGAGGUGCGAAAGCGUGGGGAGCAAAC